rnacentral:lncRNA from 1 species
ACCGGUGGUGCCGCGUCCCCGGGGCGCUCCUCGCCGCGCUGGCAGCUCCGCAGCCCCGUGGCGGCGGGGCCGCUGCUCUGAGCUCACCGCAGCUGCCGGGGGCCGAGCAGGGCCGCCCGCGCCCUAGGGAGCGCCCCCCGCGGGCCGGGCUCCCAUGGCCACCGGCCCCGCCGGGCGCCCGCAGGCAGCGGCUCCGGGCCCCGGGCGGGCGGCAGCGAUGGCUUCGGGGGCGGACGAGUCCCCUCCUGCAGGCGAACGGGGAGGCGCUCGCCUUCUUCGCGAGGGACUGGCGGCGGCUGCGGCGCUUCUCGCCGGGACGUGCGCGGCCGCGGAGGGCUCCGUGUGCCUCAGAGGCGGAGCGGGAUGGGGCAGGCGGUGCGCACAGAGCUCCACGCCGACGCUCCCCCUAGCACCGCCGCCAGCAGCGUGGCGGGCACGGAUGCAUUUUCCCGAGAAGGCAGAGCGAGCCGUGGCACCGGCGCUGGCAUCGGACUCCCGGCGAGAGGCCGCUACCGACGACCUGCGGCCGCGCGUCGCCCGCGGGCACCGGGGCACCGCGUUCCCCCGAUCCGCCCGCCCGCCCCCGGCUGCGGAGAUGCGGGGCACCGCUCCUCCUUCCCGCGGCGGCGGGCCCGCUCCUCGCCGUCACGCCUUCUUCUGCAGCAAGCGGGCGGGCAUCGUCCUGGGGCGCGGCGGAUCGGUCACUGACAGCGGGCGGCGGGAGGGGCUGCCGCCGUCGAGCCCGCGCUGUUCUGCGGCGGGGCCGCAGGCUGAGCCCCGCCGGUGGGACGGAGGGAGGGAGCGAUGGCCGCCUCAGGCGGUGCCUGGCUGCUCCGGCGCCACCGAGCCGCUGCCUGUGCCUGCUCGUAUCCCCCGCCUCCGCCUCACACCUCCGCCACCGCCCGCUCGUCCCCUCGCGGCGGGCAGGCGCAGCCGCCGCGCGGAGGGCGCACCUCCGUCCCGCUCCUCCUUCCCGGGGAACGAGAACGCAAGAGAAGGGAAAGCGAGGGACGAGAAGAGCGGAGAGGAGCCGCGCCCUGCCCUACAGCCCCGCGCCGCACGCAGCCAGCGCGCUCCUGCCCGCGGCGGCACCUGCCCGCUCUGCCUCCAUCCUCCGCCCGGGGAGCUUUAAAUAGAACACGUCACCGCGCUCCCCUACGCACCGACGUCACGCCCCGCUCCCGGCGCUGACGUCACCCGGGUGCGGAGGAUGAUGUCAGAGCGGUCCACGCCGCCGGAAGCU